GAGGGGGCUUAGCAAAAUGACUGAAAUUCGUCCCCCUUAUGAACCUGCUCAAAAGAUGCUCUGUGCUUUGUCUCGUAGUGGUGCUUCACAUUGCUGCUUUUAAUUAUUGCCAUGGUCUCGGAACAUAUGAGACACACUGGUUUUGACCUGCCUGUGAGAAGAUUGAACAUGUUACAGUAUGUUCAUUCUUGAUUAAAAGCCCUCAAAAUUAACAAAUCACCUACUGGUUGGAUCAACACAAAAGAAAAUGGAGGCUGCAGCACUGAAAAGACAGCUGAGGGCAGACAAGCAAGGGCGUAGGUUUGUUUGGUCUCAACAUAGUAGGGACACAACAACCCACUCCCUACCCACCACAUCCCCCUUUAUUCUCAAAAUCAAAAGACUUUUAUGUUGUCAUAUGAAUUCUCGAAAUCUCAGAUAAGUUUUUCCUAAUGGUGGCCCUAAUACUCUCAUCACUGUCUGCAAUUGUUUUAAAAUUUUCUAGCUGUGAGCACCACCUCCAUUUCUUUGUGGGACAAUAGUAUACAUCAACAGCCCACUCAGAAGCAUUGCUUCAUGUGCUUACUGACUUUUUCAAGUAUACUUAAUUUUGUCACUUUUCCAGUGUGAACACACUCCUCUACAAAACUUGCUCAUUAGUUUAAGAUGAUGUGUCUCCCAGUGGAUCAUGUGAAGUAUAAAGAAUGGGUUUAGACAGGUACUGAGUGUGGCAGAGCUGAGUGAAUUGGUUGCUGAGAUGGGUCAUUAGCUUUUCGCCCUUGCCAUCGAUCUGAGCCAGAAGAGAUGGGGGAGAAAGAGAAAGAGCGACAGACAGAGAGAGAGACAGGAGCAUGGCUGCGCCUUUAAAUUGAGACGAUUGGAGAGAAUCAAACAGUGAAUGGAAUGACUGCAACAGGAUUGGCCAGGUUAAAUGGAUUAAACUGUCUAAAAUGCUUUGUUUUAACUUAAUGUCACAGGUCCAGUAAGUGAGCCUGAUAAGGCAGCCAUUUUGUGCCCCAUGAUAUAAGACAUU